GCUAACUGUAUGCUAGCUAGAAGCUAAUGCUACCUUCCUUGGCUAUCGGAAUUACUGAGGCAGAGUUGAACCUGAGGGCACAUUUUUGAUCUUCUAGUUCACUUUCGCCUUUGGUUUAAAUGUCAUCGCAUAGCCACCGUGCUCAAACGCCAUGAGAGAGAGAGAGAGAGAGCUAAAUACGUCGGUGUAAAUCCCACCAGAAGUUAUAUGACGCAAUAGGACGGACCGCAUCACUAGUGACCGUCGUUUGAUAUUUACGGGGAGUACCUGAAGGCAGCAGAUCUGUCCCGUCCCGCAAACUUAGCUAGCAUUAGCCGGUAGGAGAACACCGCAGCAUCAGCAUCACCCACACGCACAAUGAGAUGAAACAUUUACCCGCUUAUUAGAUUGUACAAGACGACGGUGAGGAUUAUCUCACAGACCAGAACAAGAUGAGUCGCUUCUGUUCGGAUAACAACAACUUUCCCUACGACAACAACGUCCUGGUUUUGGACAUGGUGCUGGGCUCCCUGUGGGGUGUGCCCCAGCCCAUAAACUGGGACAAUGUGGCCAAGCUAGUACCAGGCUUUACUCCUAAGGAGUGUGCCCGUCGGUUUGAGGAGCUGAAGAGCAUGGGGGGGUUUCCUCAUGUGGAUAACCAAUGCAAUGCCCUGAUAGAAGGAAGCAGCUCCCCGUCAGACCUCCUCUCCACACUGUUGGACACUCGGGACAUAGUGGAGAGAGGAAGCGGCCAGAGCAGCAGCAGCAACGUUACAGGGUCCAAGUUGAAGUCCACAGGAAGAAGUGCUGCUGUGGAGAAGAAAGAGAAAGGAGUGUCAGCAGAGGAGGAUGAAAAACCUCAGAAACCACGAGAUCCCAACAUGGUCAUCCAUGUGUGCGAUGAGACCAAGAAUCUGAAGCAGGACUUCACUUGUCCCAGAGAUCUUCUGGUCAAGGAGAUGCGUUACUUUGCUGAAUAUUUAUCUGUGGACCCCCAGAGGUGGGAGGAAGUUGACAUCUCAGUCCACUGUGACGUGCAGAUCUUUGACUGGCUUAUGAACUACGUCAGGAGGAACUCGGCAGGAGAGGGAAACAAGGACAAACCCCGACUUGAGCCCAGCAAUGUGAUCUCAAUCCUGAUCUCCUCCGAGUUCUUGAAGAUGGACACGUUAGUGGAGGAGUGCAUCCAGUACUGCCACAAGCACAUGAGUGCCAUUGUGGCUACUCCCUGCAACAUGAACUGCAUAAACAGCAACCUGGCCACACGGAUCGCUGAACUCUUUAGCCACAACGAGGCCGACGACAUCAGGGACAAAAAAGACAAGUUCAAAAGCAAACUGUUUCAAAAGAAAAUUGAGCGUCUCUUUGACCCAAACUACCAGAACAGAGAUUCACCGGGAAAUGCCUCAACUCUGUACAGGUGUGGUCUGUGCCUUAAGCUGUUGACCAAAGACACAGAGAGGAAAAUUUCUUGUGUUCCAGGCAAAAUCAAUAUUGACGCUCGUGGAGAGAUCAUCUAUACACACACCAGACAAAAGAGUUGGGAUGUGCACGAAUACAUCACAGGCCUGUAUGAGGAGCUCAAGUCCUGGGUCUUGGUUUACUGGAGAAUCUGGGGUACCAUCAACUACCUCACCUGCUUCCGAUGCCAACAGGUGUUUGUAUGUGCAGAGCUGACGCAGUGCAAGUACCACCCAGACAGCGUCCUGUACCAUGGCAUGGGUACAGAGAGAGGCUGGCACGGUGCAGGAAUAUAUCCGUGCUGCAACCAGCGGGUUCUCCGCUUUGACCCCACUGGGAUACCAAAGGGCUGUAAGACGCGGGAUCACAUAGUGAAUGUGCCCGAUGAGGAGAACUGUGACGAGGAGACUUCAGCCCAGACCCGAGUCCUCAAUGACCUGCUGCUGCACAGAGACGCUGUGUGUGUGUCAAACUCUCCACCGGCAGAGGGUGCUGAGGAGAGCCAGUCCAGUGCAGAAAAAGUUCAGGACUGUGACGUUCUCUUGGAGCCAACAGUCCUCAGAUCUCUGAGAGGAGAUGGCAACACCUUUUCCCUUUUGAAAAACUGGAGUCUUCAGCUGAGACAGCAGUCUCUUUUGUCAGAGGAUGAGGAGUACACCACAGGGUCAGAGGUCACUGAAGACGAGGUUGGGGAUGAAGAGGAACUCUCUAAGAAGCAAGCUGCUAAGAAGGCCAAAAAGGCUCACAGACCUUUGAAAAAACAGCUGUCCUCGCCAAACUUCCAACGCAAAGAAAAAUCUGAGAAAAAUGUGCUUUUUUCCCUCCCUCAGUCACAGACCAGGGACAACACGCCUUUCACAGUAAGCGUCCAGAAGAGUAAGUGGGACAGCUCUCGCUCUAUGCGCUACAACCAGGACGCUCAGCGAGAGGAAGACCAGCGCCGCAUGGUGGAGAUCAUUGGCUACCUGACAAAGAUGAGGUUUGGAGACCAGGAACAGAGUAAAUCCAAGGAUACUAAAGAGCUGCCUCAUGUUGGAUUGUUUUUCUUCCGGACUGUGUGUGUGUGUGUUACAGCCUGCAGGGGGGAUCUACUCCAGACUUGAAGUGCAAUUUAGGAGCUCCUCUCAAGUCAGACAGAGUUCAGAAAAGACACCCAGGUCUAAAACACGCUACGCUCAAAUCCGAACAACAUAAACAAGCUAAUGGGGGGGAAAAAAAGGCAGUGGAGCUGCUAAAUAGACCAGCAUUAAACCCGAUGAAGAGGACAGACUCGCUCCUCAACCCCAGCACUUGUCAGCCCCCCCGCCCCUGCUUAACUCAGGUGACUAUGUAUGGAUCACCGUCAACCACAUCUCCUCUCAUUCGGCCCACUGUGUGUUUGUUCAGCUGCAUCCAGUCCACAAAAACAACAAGCAGAACUGUGGACCCAGCUCGGCUCAUUAGAAAUGCACUUUGACUUUCCUCAGUGUUUCUUCAAAGACGGACAGGUGGGGAUUUCUACAGAAGGCAACUGGAGAAAUGUAUGGAAGUCCACUCAUGCCAGUGGGAAAAGAAAAAGUCAUUUGUAUUUCAGAAAAUAUAUUUCAUAGCAAUGACAAACAUGUAUCUUAUUGUAAAAUACAUAGUUUCUGUCUGUCCACCAACUCCUACACAAUCAGGAGUUAAUCAACCAAACUUGGCACACAGGUACAUCUUAGGCCCCUAUACGUUCUUACCUAUAUCAGAUACUGGUGUAAUCACAUUACGCAACUACCUACUGACCAACUAAAAGGACACACUUUGUGUCUAUGCACCUAUCUCACCUUAUACAAGCAUUGUAUCAUUUCAGUUUCACAACAGUAGCAUCUCAUUUACAUCAGAUGCUAUAGUUGUGAAUAUUUUGAUAUGCAAUAUCAUCGUGUUGCUUGGCAACCACCUGGUAACAGAAUAAAAUGACAUUUAUGUAGUAGAGCAGGACAUGGGAUGUAGUAGUAAAGGUAAAUUUAAAAAAUAAAGAAAUUACAAAAAUGCCACAACAGAAAAAAGUUUUGAUGUAAAAAAAAAAAAAAGAAAAGGAAAAAAAAGCAUAAAUCAAAUUGACUUGAACUGAGGAAAAAAAACUACAUCAGGAUACUGGAAAACAUGUGUGUCUAAAGCUCCAAUGACAUUUUUUUAAAUGCUAAAUUGAGAUCAAAUUUAAUUUUGAGGUUAAGAAGUAAAAUUGAGAUAAAUGUAUUAUAUGUUAUAUGAACAUCGGUCAAAAAGAUGUCAUGAGAAAAAUUUAUGAAAAAAAAAUUCAUUUUCUUAAACUGGCAGUGAUUAUCUUCCUGGAUACCUAGGUUUUCCUUCUUAAACUGACAUCUUUUAUUUCCACCGUAGUGGAAGGUCAGAGAUGUGUGGCAUGAAAAUUUUACUGCAUCAACUGAAAUUUACACCCAGCCUUACAUUUACACUGUAAUUCUGCCUGCGUUUUGUGUAAAGCUCAUUCUUUAGGUGAGAAGGAUGCCACAUUUGUUCCACCAAGUUCUGGUAGAGAUGUAGUUCUAGUCUUUCCUGUGUUUACUGGAACGUGACUGUGCCAUGUACCACACCUAGGCCAAUAAAAUACAAGUGACUAAAUCCAU